GACGAACGCUGGCGGCGUGCUUAACACAUGCAAGUCGAACGGAAAGGCCCUGCUUUUGUGGGGUGCUCGAGUGGCGAACGGGUGAGUAACACGUGAGUAACCUGCCCUUGACUUUGGGAUAACUUCAGGAAACUGGGGCUAAUACCUGAUAGGAGCUCCUGCUGCAUGGUGGGGGUUGUAAAGUUUCGGCGGUUGGGGAUGGACUCGCGUCUUAUCAGCUUGUUGGUGGGGUAGUGGCUUACCAAGGCUUUGACGGGUAGCCGGCCUGAGAGGGUGACCGGCAACAUUGGGACUGAGAUACGGCCCAGACUACUACGGGAGGAAGCAGUGGGGAAUAUUGCAAAAUGGGCGGAAGCCUGAUGCAGCAACGCCGCGUGCGGGAUGACGGCCUUCGGGUUGUAAACCGCUUUCGCCUGUGAAGAAGAGUGAGUGACGGUAAUGGGUAAAGAAGCACCGGCUAACUACGUG
rnacentral:rRNA from 1 species